UACGUAGGGUGCGAGCGUUAAUCGGAAUUACUGGGCGUAAAGCGUGCGCAGGCGGUUCGUUGUGUUCUGUGGUGAAAGCCCCGGGCUAACCUGGGAAUGGCCAUGGAAACUGGCGAGCUGGAGUGUGGCAGAGGGGGUGGAAUUCGCGUGUAGCAGUGAAAUGCGCAGAUAUCAGGAGGAACACCAAUUGCGAAGGCAGCACUCUGGGACGUGACUGACGCUGAGACGCGAAAGCGUGGGGAGCAAACAGG
rnacentral:rRNA from 1 species